GUAGUCUCUCUCAAUGCAGAUUUCUUUUUGACCUCCUCCCCCAGGAUCUUGAAUGGGAUGCUGCACAUUCCUCAUGAGAAACCUGAGGUGGCACUAAAAAGACAGCCGCGGUUUUCCUACUGCCUGCUGCCAAGUUUCUUGAGGGCCCAGCUGUUAAGGGGCUGUGGUUGAGUUUUUCAGCAGGAGCAAGUUACAUAACACCACACCCUUGUCCACAGAGGCUCUGAUGUGAGGCCUUGGGGAGAGAUUUAUGGCAAGAUGACUGUACAGGUGUUCAUAGUCAAAGAGCAGGUUAAACUGGAAGGUGUCAUAUGUCCUCACUGACCCACCCUCUGGCUUGAUGCAUUUCCCGGAUGGUCCUCGAUCUCUGAAGUCAGUCUUUCUCCUUUGGGGUGUCACUGAACCCUGUGACUCCCAAAGUGUCUCAUCCUGACCCUGAAAGGCACGUCUCGAACCCUGCUGUUCUGAGCUCCAGCCCUCCAGCGACGUCCCUGGAUGCCUCACUGACCUCUCAAGUUCAGCUUCUUCAGAGCAGCAUUCAUCGUCAUGCCCUGAAAGCCACCUCUCCUCUGACCCUGCCAGUGAUUCCAAAAUUAUUGGCAGACCACAAGCUCCAGACCCCAAAGUCUGUUCAACUCUGUCAUCUCCAUCCCUUUGGUCAUCAGCUGCUAAAAGUCUUUCCAGAACGUUUCCUCAGACGUUCCUUCUACAUUCAACCUCCUGGACCCUGUAGCCCCUGAUCCCUUCCCUUCCUUCCUUCCCCAGCUUUGAGUCCAUGCUGCACCAACUCAGGGACUCUUACUAGAGCCCACAUCCCCUUCCUUCUGUAUUUCUCAUCAUUGCUGUUUGACAUAACAUGAACCCAGCCAUCUUCUUUGCUUCAACUGGGAGGCUGAGCAGAACUGAAGAAACUGCAUGGAGGGAAGAUAAAAGGAAAAUAGAAUCCUCAGUUCAGUUUCCACUGAGGCCCCAAGAUCAAGGAUGCCAAAUACGAUUGCAUUCCAAAGCAAAUAACUUGGCCCACCUUUCCGUGACUUGUGAAGAAAGUCAGGUUUCCUGAGUUUUAUCUUUCACUUACCUUGAGCUGUGAAUUCUUCCAGGCUGGCACUCCCUCCUUCCCUCCACCUUAGCCAUGUAGGAGCUUCACAGGCAUCUUUGACAGGUAUCUUUUGAAGCCUGUGGGACCCAGACAGGCAUUAGAUUCAUGCCUAGAGGAGAAAGUCUAAUGAGAGGCUGACUGAAGUGAGCUGUGUCUGUAGAGCAGAGGGCUGCAUUUAGGGAAUAGCCACAUUCUGGCCUAUGCCAGUCCAGAGGUGAAUUUUCUCGGGGAUCAACUGUGAAACCCACGGAAGGAAUGUGAGUUUGGGCUGUUUCCAAAGGAAUUCUGACCUGAAGGACUUCCUGCGAUCAGUGAGGUGUCCUCGGCAGAAAGGGGUUGGAAGUUCCAGAGAGGACUGUAGGUGGCUGGAUGGAGGCGAGGCAUUGCCUGAGAUGAAGGAAUUCCAACUGGAAGGGCCCAGCUCGGGGGAAUCCAAGGAGGCCACAGAUGCUCAAAUGAGAGAACAAAUGCCAAAACAUGAGCCAGACCAAGAGGGAAGCUCCACCAACUUCUGUUUGUGUCAGUCAAACAAGGCCUUCCUUUCCCUUGCCUUUCUUCAGUCUCUGCUGUGUCCUGGAAGACCCAGUGGAAAUGGAGAGGGGUGGAGGAAACUAACAUGAAUGGGGAAAAUAGAGACAAAACCUCCUUUCCCACAGCAGGCCCUUCGUUUGAUAGCAUAUCUAAGCUUGCCGUGAAGUUUUCUUACAGUAGUUCUGGGCAUAUUUAUAAACUAAGGCUGUGAGUUGGGGAUGAAAGGACCAGAGGACAUUUUGCUAUUUGAGAUGAUCAGAGAGCUAGAAGACUUUUCUAGUAUUUCACUCAAAGGGUAGGGAAAUGCUGAACCCAAAGAGGGUAUUCAAAUGGGCAUUGCACGUGAAGAAUAAAGUCAUUUUCUCUUUGCACCCUAGGAACCCAUCUUACUCAAUGAGAUUAUUCAACUCUAUCUCUGAAAUAAUCUUAAUCCACAGCUAGGUCUCAGCCUUCAAGCCCUGGCUAUACAUUUUUUUUUUUUCUGGUGGGUGUGUUCUCCUCUUCUCUACAAAGUUACUUUAGGACUUUCUACCUUCCUUGAUCCCUGAACUUCAUGCUGGCCCCUUACUCUUAGAUGAUCUUGCCUUGGUCUUUGCAGAAAGAUUCGAAUUCAUCAGA
rnacentral:lncRNA from 1 species